AACGCGAAGAACCUUACCAGGUCUUGACAUCCUUUGACACUCCUAGAGAUAGGACGUUCCCCUUCGGGGGACAGAGUGACAGGUGGUGCAUGGUUGUCGUCAGCUCGUGUCGUGAGAUGUUGGGUUAAGUCCCGCAACGAGCGCAACCCUUGAUCUUAGUUGCCAGCAUUCAGUUGGGCACUCUAAGGUGACUGCCGGUGACAAACCGGAGGAAGGUGGGGAUGACGUCAAAUCAUCAUGCCCCUUAUGACCUGGGCUACACACGUGCUACAAUGGAUGGUACAAAGGGCUGCAAAACCGCGAGGUCGAGCCAAUCCCAUAAAACCAUUCUCAGUUCGGAUUGUAGGCUGCAACUCGCCUACAUGAAGCUGGAAUCGCUAGUAAUCGUGGAUCAGCAUGCCACGGUGAAUACGUUCCCGGGCCUUGUA
rnacentral:rRNA from 1 species